GGAGUAGAUACCCUGGUAGUCCAUGCCCUAAAAGAUGAGUGUUCGUGCUUAGAGAACUUUAGGCACUUAGUUAACACGUUUUACACUCCGCCUGGGGAGUACGAUCGCAAGGUUGGAACUCAAAGGAAUUGACGGGGGCCUAUACAAGUGGUGGAGCAUGUGGUUUAAUGCGAUAAUACGCGCGAAACCUUACCAGUUCUUGACAUAAAAAAGAAAAAGUUUGAAAAAGCAAUUUUAAAGAUUUUUACAGGUGCUGCAUGGCUGUCGUAAGCUCGUGUCGUGAGAUGUUAGGUUAACUCCUUUUAACGGGCGAAACCCCUUUUUUUCGUUGCUACUUAAUUUUAUUUUUAAAGCACUCUAAAAAAACUGCUCCCUUUUUUUAAUUCGGAGAGGAAGGUGGGGAUGACGUCAAGUCCUUAUGGCCCUUAUGAACUGGGCUACACACGUGCUACAAUGGUAAAGACUAUAAGAAGUGAUAGGGUAACCUAAAACCAAUCUUUAAACUUUAUCAAAGUUCGGAUUGUGGACUGCAACUCGUCCAUAUGAAGGUGGAUCACUAGAAUCGCACAUCAGCAUGUUGCGGUGAUUGUACCUAGGCCUUGUACACACCGCCCGUCACGUGCCGGGAGUCGGCU
rnacentral:rRNA from 1 species